GAUGAACGCUGGCGGCGUGCCUAAUACAUGCAAGUCGAGCGAAUGGAUUAAGAGCUUGCUCUUAUGAAGUUAGCGGCGGACGGGUGAGUAACACGUGGGUAACCUGCCCAUAAGACUGGGAUAACUCCGGGAAACCGGGGCUAAUACCGGAUAACAUUUUGAACCGCAUGGUCCGAAAUUGAAAGGCGGCUUCGGCUGUCACUUAUGGAUGGACCCGCGUCGCAUUGGCUAGUUGGUGAGGUAACGGCGCACCAAGGCAACGAUGCGUAGCCGACCUGAGAGGGUGAUCGGCCACACUGGGACUGAGACACGGCCCAGACUCCUACGGGAGGCAGCAGUAGGGAAUCUUCCGCAAUGGACGAAAGUCUGACGGAGCAACGCCGCGUGAGUGAUGAAGGCUUUCGGGUCAUAAAACUCUGUUGUUAGGGAAGAACAAGUGCUAGUUGAAUAAGCUGGCACCUUGACGGUACCUAACCAGAAAGCCACGGCUAACUACGUGCCAGCAGCCGCAGUAA
rnacentral:rRNA from 1 species